GGGCGUAAAGCGAACGUAGGCCGGUUUGUAAGUCAGGAGUGAAAUCCCGGGGCUCAACCUCGGAACUGCCUUUGAUACUGCGAACCUAGAGUCCGGAAGAGGUGGGUGGAAUUCCUAGUGUAGAGGUGAAAUUCGUAGAUAUUAGGAAGAACACCGGUGGCGAAGGCGGCCCACUGGUCCGGUACUGACGCUGAGGUGCGAAAGCGUGGGGAGCAAACAG
rnacentral:rRNA from 1 species